GACGAACGCUGGCGGAGUGCCUAAUGCAUGCAAGUUGAGCGAUGAAGAUUGGUGCUUGCACCAAUUUGAAGAGCAGCGAACGGGUGAGUAACGCGUGGGGAAUCUGCCUUUGAGCGGGGGACAACAUUUGGAAACGAAUGCUAAUACCGCAUAACAACUUUAAACAUAAGUUUUAAGUUUGAAAGAUGCAAUUGCAUCACUCAAAGAUGAUCCCGCGUUGUAUUAGCUAGUUGGUGAGGUAAAGGCUCACCAAGGCGAUGAUACAUAGCCGACCUGAGAGGGUGAUCGGCCACAUUGGGACUGAGACACGGCCCAAACUCCUACGGGAGGCAGCAGUAGGGAAUCUUCGGCAAUGGACGAAAGUCUGACCGAGCAACGCCGCGUGAGUGAAGAAGGUUGUCGGAUCGUAAAACUCUGUUGGUAGAGAAGAACGUUGGUGAGAGUGGAAAGCUCAUCAAGUGACGGUAACUACCCAGAAAGGGACGGCUAACUACGUG
rnacentral:rRNA from 1 species